rnacentral:rRNA from 1 species
AAACCGUUGAAAGGGAAGCGAAUGGAGUUAGCAAUUCGCCCCGCCACACUCAGUUGUUCGUGCUUCGCGACGUGCACGCUUUCGAUCCGCUAGGACGAGACGUGUACGGCUGCGACGUUCGGACGGCGCACUUCUGGCGGGCGAGCGUCAGCGUCGGUUGUCGACGGGCGAUAAGGUAGCGAGGAAGGUGAACCGUUCUUCGGAUCGGUUGUUAAGCCUCGCGCUCACAUAGCUCGACGGCGACCGUGGCUCAUCGAGGCGACGCGUGCCUGGCUGGUGACUCGUACGAUCGGUCCGGCAUGUCGAACGUAGCGGACGGCACGCCUGUGCGCUCAAACUGCUGCCGGUCGAUCGUUUUGAUGUUCACACACUACGUGUCGAAGAUGCUGACGACCAUACGGCUCCAUCCGACCCGUCUUGAAACACGGACCAAGGAGUCUAACAUGUGCGCGAGUCUCCGGGUGAUCGAAACCCGUGGGCAUAAUGAAAGUAAAGAUCGUCUUUGACGGUUGAGGUGAGAAGCCUUACCGCUGCAUCAUCGACCGACUUAUUCUGAUCACAGAAAGGUUUGAGUAAGAGCGUAUCUGUUGGGACCCGAAAGAUGGUGAACUAUGCCUGAAUAGGGUGAAGCCAGCGGAAACACUGGUGGAAGCUCGUAGCGAUUCUGACGUGCAAAUCGAUCGUCGAAUUUGGGUAUAGCGGCGAAAGACUAAUCGAACCAUCUAGUAGCUGGUUCCCUCCGAAGUUUCCCUCAGGAUAGCUGGAGUUCAUUUUAUGCAGU